rnacentral:rRNA from 1 species
GAUGAACGCUGGCGGCGUGCCUAAUACAUGCCAGUCGAGCGAACAGACGAGGAGCUUGCUCCUCUGACGUUAGCGGCGGACGGGUGAGUAACACGUGGAUAACCUACCUAUAAGACUGGGAUAACUUCGGGAAACCGGAGCUAAUACCGGAUAACAUGUUGAACCGCAUGGUUCAACAGUGAAAGACGGUUUUGCUGUCACUUAUAGAUGGAUCCGCGUCGCAUUAGCUAGUUGGUAAGGUAACGGCUUACCAAGGCAACGAUGCGUAGCCGACCUGAGAGGGUGAUCGGCCACACUGGAACUGAGACACGGUCCAGACUCCUACGGGAGGCAGCAGUAGGGAAUCUUCCGCAAUGGGCGAAAGCCUGACGGAGCAACGCCGCGUGAGUGAAGAAGGUCUUCGGAUCGCAAAACUCUGUUAUUAGGGAAGAACAAAUGUGUAAGUAACUAUGCACGUCUUGACGGUACCUAAUCAGAAAGCCACGGCUAACUACGUG